UCUACCCCUCCCUUGCUUCCUUCCACCCUCUAAACUCUUCCUCAUCUCCUUUGAAGCUUCUAGAGUGAAGAACCUUAUAGGAGCACUGUAGCGGCGACGAUCAAACCGGGGAGGAGCUCUUCAACUCGUCAACAACUUAGAGGACCACCUUGAGCAUCAUCUUGGAUUUCUUUUGAAUUUAGGAUCACCAAAUCAGGAGCAGUAGACCCAGGGAUCUUAGAAGGCUUCCAGUUGAUGUCUUCUUUGGGAUUUAUGCCUUAAGACUUAUGUCUUUGUAUCAGUUGUAUUAUUGUUUAAGAACCUCCUUGUAGGUCAUGUUGUAUUUUCAUUUACCUUGUAUUCGAGUUGGUUGUAAACCUUAAG